rnacentral:rRNA from 1 species
GACGAACGCUGGCGGCGUGCUUAACACAUGCAAGUCGAACGGAAAGGCCCCGUUGGGGGUACUCGAGUGGCGAACGGGGGAGUAACACGCGAGUAACCUGCCCUUGACUUCGGGAUAACUUCAGGAAACUGGGGGUAAUACCGGAUAGGAAUCCUUGCUGCAUGGUGGGGGUUGGAAAGCUUCGGCGGUUUUGGAUGGACUCGCGGCUUAUCAGCUUGUUGGUGGGGUAGUGGCUUACCAAGGCUUUGACGGGUAGCCGGCCUGAGGGGGCGACCGGCCACAUUGGGACUGAGAUACGGCACCGACUCCUACUGGAGGCCGCAGUGCGGAAUCUUGCACAAUGGGCGGCGGCCUGAUGCAGCAGCGCCGCGUGCGGGAUGACGGCCUUCGGGUUGUAAACCGCUUUCAGCAGGGGCGAAGCUUGUGGUGACGGUACCUGCAGAAGAAGCACCGGCUAACUACGUG